AAAACACCCUGCCCCGACACGCUUCCCCAACCCUCCCGCAACCUCUCCUUCCCCGAGCGCCUCAUUCCCGCCGCCGCCCUCGGAACCCGCCGCCGCACACGCCCUCCGCGGAACCCGCCGCCGCGCGCGCCCUCGCCGGAACCCCCGCUGCCACGAGCCCCUGCCGCCGUGCGCCCUCCCCGGACGCCUCGCCGCAGCCCGCCCUCCCCGGACCCCCGCGCCGCUGUGCCACCACCGGGAUCCAAUCGCCAACGAGAUCCUCUCUGCGACCCCCCGCCCAGUUGUGGUCAUUGCCAGAUGCCUCGCUGCCGCCAAACGCCCUCUUCCUUCCGGCAGCCACGCACCGUCCGAGCGCCGCCGUGCCUUCUCGCACCAGUCUCCUCCCGCCAUGCCCCUGCAGGAAGCUGGUGCCGCUGCAAGAAGUUCAAAUGUCAUAGCAGCGGCCGGACGGAUUUGAUACACGGUGCUCCCUCCCAUAAAGUGGUUGUGCUAGACGAGGAAUCAAACUCGCCUCCGCUUCUAGCAACCCCACCACUGUUGGAGAGGAGAGGAGGAAUGCAAGCAUGAUUGGGCUGGGAUACCUGAGCCAAGGUGAGAGGCCAAUUGGAUUCCAUCUCUCUCAGUUAUAUAGUUAUGGUACUCCACAUCCCAUGUGAAGUUGUGGGAGAUGGGAUGAUAUAAUUGGUGCCCACUGAUUGAGUUGAAUUGAAUAGAGACAAGCUGAAUUGCAUCAUGCAUAGUAUGCUGGUGUCAAAUUCACAACCACCCUAGCAGCAGAUGCCAAGCAAGUUAGUGUAGGUGUUUUAUAUCUAGGCUGCAUGGUUGGUUGAUGAUGGAUGAUGAUGUGCUAGUGCUGCUGUUGUAGGGUUUAUAGAAUGAAUGAUUCUGCAUCGCUCAUGUCAAAGUCAUGCCUUCUUCUUUAAUCAAGUGCCUACUUUGUAUA